rnacentral:rRNA from 1 species
UACGGAGGGUGCAAGCGUUAUCCGGAUUUACUGGGUUUAAAGGGUGUGUAGGCGGACUUUUAAGUCAGCGGUGAAAUCCUGGGGCUCAACCCCAGAACUGCCAUUGAUACUAUUGGUCUUGAAUGUUGUUGAGGUGGGCGGAAUACAUCAUGUAGCGGUGAAAUGCUUAGAGAUGAUGUAGAACACCGAUUGCGAAGGCAGCUCACUAAGCAACGAUUGACGCUGAGGCACGAAAGCGUGGGGAUCAAACAGG